rnacentral:ribozyme from 13 species
AAUAGAGAAAGAAAGAAAGAAAGAAAAAGAAAAGGGAAAUAGGAAACGAUCAAAAAUCAAGAGAGGUUCUUCAUUCUUUUGAUCUUGAUCGAAGAAGAGAAACCGCUUCUUUUUUCCUCGAAAAAUAGAAGUGUUUUUGUCGUUACCGCGUUGGAGAUGUCGUCUUCUUUUUCCUCCUCUGCAUUACUAAACAAAGCCAUGAAAGCAAGGCUGUUGCAAGAAAAGAAAAGGGAUGU